rnacentral:rRNA from 1 species
GAGAAUGCCGGUGUGAGUAGCGAAAGACGGGUGAGAAUCCCGUCCACCGAUUGACUAAGGUUUCCAGAGGAAGGCUCGUCCGCUCUGGGUUAGUCGGGUCCUAAGCUGAGGCCGACAGGCGUAGGCGAUGGAUAACAGGUUGAUAUUCCUGUACCACCUAUAAUCGUUUUAAUCGAUGGGGGGACGCAGUAGGAUAGGCGAAGCGUGCGAUUGGAUUGCACGUCUAAGCAGUAAGGCUGAGUAUUAGGCAAAUCCGGUACUCGUUAAGGCUGAGCUGUGAUGGGGAGAAGACAUUGUGUCUUCGAGUCGUUGAUUUCACACUGCCGAGAAAAGCCUCUAGAUAGAAAAUAGGUGCCCGUACCGCAAACCGACACAGGUAGUCAAGAUGAGAAUUCUAAGGUGAGCGAGCGAACUCUCGUUAAGGAACUCGGCAAAAUGACCCCGUAACUUCGGGAGAAG